rnacentral:piRNA from 1 species
UGCAAGCCUGCUACGGGCAUUUGUAAUGAG